UACGAAGGGGGCUAGCGUUGUUCGGAUUUACUGGGCGUAAAGCGCACGUAGGCGGAUCGUUAAGUCGGGGGUGAAAUCCUGGAGCUCAACUCCAGAACUGCCUUCGAUACUGGCGAUCUUGAGUCCGGAAGGGGGUGAGUGGAACUCCUAGUGUAGAGGUGGAAUUCGUAGAUAUUAGGAAGAACACCAGUGGCGAAGGCGGCUCACUGGUCCGGUACUGACGCUGAGGUGCGAAAGCGUGGGGAGCAAACAGG
rnacentral:rRNA from 1 species